UUUACCAAAAACAUAGCUUACAAGAAAAAUUUUAGGUGGAACCUGGUCAAUGGAGAGUAUAAAUAAAAACUCUUUAAAUUCAUGCCUUAGCGUGAGGGUAAUAAAGUAGCAUAAUAAAUAGGCAUUUAAUUGAUGUCUGGUAGGAAUGGUUAAACGAUUGUAAAUUUGUCUCAAAUUUUAAAAAAAAAAUUAAAUUAAUAGUUAAGAUUCUAUUUAAAUUAAGUUAGACAAAAAGACCCCAUAAACCUUUACUAUAGUCAAAUCAUUUUAAAAUAAAAUAUUUUUGAUAGGUAGUUUAGCUGGGGCAGCUAUCUUUUAUUAAAAAAGAAGAUUUUUAACUUUGUUUAUUAUAUAAAAUUAACAAAUAAAUUUUUAUCGUCCUUAUUAAAAUACUAAAUUUUAUAAUCUAAUAAAUAAAAGGUACUUUGGGGAUAACAGCGAAAUUAUAAAAAUAGAGAAGAAAUCCGCUUUUAUGUUUGCGACCUCGAUGUUGAAUUUAGUUUUCCUUUAGCUGCAGGGGGUUAAAAAGGUUAAACUGUUCGUUUAUUAAAAACUUACAUGAUUUGAGUUCAUUCC
rnacentral:rRNA from 1 species